GAGCUCCCCGAGGGUUCGGAGACUGGCUAACUGGGAGUGCUCUCGGCCAUGGGAGGCCCCUUCCCACAUGGCUGCAGUCCUGGCCUCUCCAUUUAUCCCUUCCUG
ensembl:miRNA